rnacentral:rRNA from 1 species
UCCAGACUCCUACGGGAGGCAGCAGUGGGGAAUAUUGGGCAAUGGGCGCAAGCCUGACCCAGCAACGCCGCGUGAAGGAAGAAGGCUUUCGGGUUGUAAACUUCUUUUAUGAGGGACGAAAGAAAUGACGGUACCUCAUGAAUAAGCCACGGCUAACUACGUGCCAGCAGCCGCGGUAAUACGUAGGUGGCAAGCGUUAUCCGGAUUUACUGGGUGUAAAGGGCGUGUAGGCGGGACUGCAAGUCAGAUGUGAAAUCCACGGGCUCAACCCGUGAACUGCAUUUGAAACUGUUUCCCUUGAGUGUCGGAGAGGUAAUCGGAAUUCCUUGUGUAGCGGUGAAAUGCGUAGAUAUAAGGAAGAACACCAGUGGCGAAGGCGGAUUACUGGACGAUAACUGACGGUGAGGCGCGAAAGCGUGGGGAGCAAACAGGAUUAGAUACCCUUGUA